rnacentral:rRNA from 1 species
UACGAAGGGGGCUAGCGUUGUUCGGAAUCACUGGGCGUAAAGCGCACGUAGGUGGAUUGUUAAGUCAGUGGUGAAAUGCCAGGGCUCAACCUUGGAACUGCCUUUGAUACUGGCAAUCUCGAGUCCGGGAGAGGUGAGUGGAACUGCGAGUGUAGAGGUGAAAUUCGUAGAUAUUCGCAAGAACACCAGUGGCGAAGGCGGCUCACUGGCCCGGUACUGACACUGAGGUGCGAAAGCGUGGGGAGCAAACAGG